ACCCAGCUGACGAGUCCCGAAUAGAACGAAGCGUGAGUCCUUGAU
rnacentral:hammerhead_ribozyme from 1 species